rnacentral:rRNA from 1 species
UACGUAGGGGGCAAGCGUUAUCCGGAUUUACUGGGUGUAAAGGGAGCGUAGACGGCGAUGCAAGCCAGAUGUGAAAGCCCGCGGCUCAACUGCGGUAGUGCAUUUGGAACUGUAUGGCUGGAGUGCAGGAGAGGCAGGCGGAAUUCCUAGUGUAGCGGUGAAAUGCAUAGAUAUCACGCAGAACCCCGAUUGCGAAGGCAGCAUACCGGUGCACAACUGACGCUCAGGCACGAAAGCGUGGGUAUCGAACAGG